rnacentral:lncRNA from 1 species
GGGAUGUUAUUUUGGGCAGUGCAUCUGGACUUGGUUCAAGUGGCACCAGCCAAAUCCCUGCCUUACUGACCUCUCCCCUGGAGGAGCAGGAGCAGCGCUCAAGGCCGCCUUGGGAGGGCUGAGAGGCAGGCUCUGGACUGGGGACACAGGGAUAGCUGAGCCCCAGCUGGGGGUGGAAGCUGAGCCAGAGACAGUCACAGAGGAACAAGAUCAAGAUGCGCUUUAACUGAGAAGCCCCCAAGGCAGAGGCUGAGAAUCAGAAGACAUUUCAGCAGACCCUAGUGACCUCUCUUUGGCUCUUCAGCAUCUACAAAUCUGAAGGACAAAACAUGGUUCAAGCAUCUGGGCACAGGCGUAGAAAUGGGGUUUCGCCAUGUUCGCCAGGCUGUUCUUGAACUCCUGACCUCAGGUGAUCCACCCGCCUCGGCCUCCCAAAAGAACAUACAUAUGAUAGUUGAGAAAGACACAUAUUCUGAUCAUGAAGAAAUAAACACAAGUUAAAUAUGACUAAGCAGAAAGAUGGAAGGACCAGGAACGGUGAUGCUAACUUGGAACCACGAUGCAGGCUCUAAUCUCCUCUACAAUCAUCCUCCCUUGUGAGAAAAAUACAUAAGAUCUAAGGCACAUGAGAUGAUACGCUUUCUGUUUGAGUUUCUCCUUUAUGUUACGCAUACUGAUAAAAUUGUUGACGCCAGUUGAUCUGAAGGUCCCAGCAAGGAGCCGACUCACAGAAGAAUGCAGU